rnacentral:rRNA from 1 species
UGGGGGAUAUUGCACAAUGGGGGAAACCCUGAUGCAGCGACGCCGCGUGGGCGAAGAAGUAUUUCGGUAUGUAAAGCCCUAUCAGCAGGGAAGAAUAAAUGACGGUACCUGAGUCAGAAGCACCGGCUAAAUACGUGCCAGCAGCCGCGGUAAUACGUAUGGUGCAAGCGUUAUCCGGAUUUACUGGGUGUAAAGGGAGCGCAGGCGGCACGGCAAGCCUGAUGUGAAAGCCCGCGGCCCAACCGCGGGACUGCAUUGGGAACUACCGGGCUGGAGUGCCGGAGAGGUAGGCGGAAUUCCUAGUGUAGCGGUGAAAUGCGUAGAUAUUAGGAGGAACACCAGUGGCGAAGGCGGCCUACUGGACGGUGACUGACGCUGAGGCUCGAAAGCGUGGGGAGCAAACAGG